rnacentral:rRNA from 1 species
UACGUAGGGGGCAAGCGUUGUCCGGAUUUAUUGGGCGUAAAGAGCGUGUAGGCGGUUAUACAGGUCCGCUGUGAAAACUGGGGGCUUAACCUCCAGACGUCGGUGGAAACCGUAUAACUAGAGUCCGGAAGAGGAGAGUGGAAUUCCUGGUGUAGCGGUGAAAUGCGCAGAUAUCAGGAAGAACACCCGUGGCGAAGGCGGCUCUCUGGGACGGUACUGACGCUGAGACGCGAAAGCGUGGGGAGCGAACAGG